rnacentral:tRNA from 1 species
ACCGAUAGCUCAGCAGGAUAGAGCAACGGCCUUCUAAGCCGUAGGUCGGGGGUUCGAAUCCCUCUCGGU